rnacentral:rRNA from 1 species
UACGUAGGGUGCAAGCGUUAUCCGGAAUUACUGGGUUUAAAGGCUACGUAGGUGGCGUACUAAGUCUGUGGUGAAAGGUUACAGCUUAACUGUAAAAGUGCCAUGGAUACUGGUAUGCUUGAGUAUUGUAGAGGAAGGCGGAAUUUAUUGUGUAGCGGUGAAAUGCAUAGAUACAAUGAGGAAGGCCGAUUGCGAAGGCAGCUUUCUGGACAAUAACUGACACUGAUGUAGGAAAGCGUGGGGAGCGAACAGG